UGGGGAAUAUUGGACAAUGGGCGAAAGCCUGAUCAGCCAUGCCGCGUGUGUGAAGAAGGUCUUCGGAUUGUAAAGCACUUUAAGUUGGGAGGAAGGGCAUUAACCUAAUACGUUAGUGUUUUGACGUUACCGACAGAAUAAGCACCGGCUAACUCUGUGCCAGCAGCCGCGGUAAUACAGAGGGUGCAAGCGUUAAUCGGAAUUACUGGGCGUAAAGCGCGCGUAGGUGGUUUGUUAAGUUGGAUGUGAAAUCCCCGGGCUCAACCUGGGAACUGCAUUCAAAACUGACUGACUAGAGUAUGGUAGAGGGUGGUGGAAUUUCCUGUGUAGCGGUGAAAUGCGUAGAUAUAGGAAGGAACACCAGUGGCGAAGGCGACCACCUGGACUAAUACUGACACUGAGGUGCGAAAGCGUGGGGAGCAAACA
rnacentral:rRNA from 1 species